rnacentral:rRNA from 1 species
GACGAACGCUGGCGGCGUGCCUAAUACAUGCAAGUAGAACGCUGAAGGUGGAGCUUGCUUCUCUGGAUGAGUUGCGAACGGGUGAGUAACGCGUAGGUAACCUGCCUGGUAGCGGGGGAUAACUAUUGGAAACGAUAGCUAAUACCGCAUAAUAGUAGAUGUUGCAUGACAUUUGCUUAAAAGGUGCAAUUGCAUCACUACCAGAUGGACCUGCGUUGUAUUAGCUAGUUGGUGGGGUAACGGCUCACCAAGGCGACGAUACAUAGCCGACCUGAGAGGGGGAUCGGCCACACUGGGACUGAGACACGGCCCAGACUCCUACGGGAGGCAGCAGUAGGGAAUCUUCGGCAAUGGACGGAAGUCUGACCGAGCAACGCCGCGGGAGUGAAGAAGGUUUUCGGAUCGUAAAGCUCUGUUGUAAGGGAAGAACGAGUGUGAGAGUGGAAAGUUCACACUGUGACGGUAUCUUACCAGAAAGGGACGGCUAACUACGUG